CAACUUGGUAUGAAAGUUAUGUCGCGUAAAAAUCGAUUUAUCCGCGUCAGAUCUCGAGCAUUGUUCUCGAGUUAGUAGGUGGGACGAGGAGGAACGAGAAGGGACCAGAGGGAAAGAGGAAACUCGCUAAGGAAUGGGAUUCCCUGUUUAACUACUUCGCUUGCUAUUGGCGCUGCCAGGCACCCAACGGCCAGCUUGGAAUACAAGAUCGUGUUUGAGAUGCUCAGCGUGCUGUUGCUGUUGCUGCUGCUGCUGCUGCUGCUGUUGCUGCUGCUGCUGCUGCUGCUGCUGCUGUUGCUUCUGUUACUACUUCAGCUGCUAACGCUGGAUAGUUGUUGGAUCCGGAAAGGAAAACUCACAAAAAGAAAAGAACUUUAUUCGAUUGUAUCGUGACUCCCAGAG